CACUUAGCGUGGAAAAACGCGUGUGCAGGGACCUUUAACGGUCUCGUCCGAAACUGAGAAGCGAAAGUGAAACUAUCGAGUCCGCGUCGCAGUGAACGCAGUGAACGGUUCUCGUGUGUUUUGUUGGUUCAAUCGAUGGUUGUGAUCGUUAAUCAGAGGAGUCCGUCAACAUGCAGCUGCUUCCUCUGAGUCUCUGUCUCCUGACUUUGACUGGAUCAACGUUUUCUGACGGAAACGGUCCAGAGAUCAUCACAGUGACAGAAGGCAGUGAUGUGAUUCUGCCCUAAAAUCAACAAGAACAUUGAGUCUGAGCAGAUUGAGUGGAAGAAAGAUGGAAAGAAGGCGGUUUACCUGUAUGAAGGUGGACCGUUAUCAGGUCAAGAUGAUCAGUUCAGUGGUCGUGUGUCUCAUUUUAAUCAUGAACUGAGGAACGGUGACGCCUCCAUAACCAUCAGUGAUACUAAAGUGUCUGACAGUGGAGACUACACAUGUGAUUUCCCAAAUCUUCACCAAACCUUCACCGUUCGUCUUGUUGUUGGUCCAGUGAGCAUCAUAGUGAUAGAAGGCGAUGAUGUGAUUCUGCCCUGUAAAAUCAACAAGGACAUUUCAUUAGAGCGGUUUGAGUGGAAGAAAGAUGGAAAGAAGGAUGUUUACCUGCAUGAAAGUAGUCCGUUAUUAGUUGAUGAUGGUCAGUUCAGUGGUCGUGUGUCUCAUUCUGAUCAUGAACUGAGGAACGGUGACGCCUCCAUAACCAUCAGUGAUACUAAAGUGUCUGACAGUGGAGACUACACCUGUGAUUUCCCAAAUCUUCACCAAACCUUCACCGUUCGUCUUGUUGUUGGUAAAGCUGCAAAGGUUUCCAUCCAAAAUCCUGAACAAACUGAGGACGGGUUCCUGCUGAAGUGUUUGGUUUCAGAUGUUUCUCCAGGAUUUAAACUGAACAUCUCCUGGUUCGACAGCUCUGGAAACAAACUUAUUGAACAAAAAAGCGACACAGAAAGUGAAAAACUCCACAUCCUCCAAACUACUGUGAAAAAGAGCGACACUUAUCGCUGUGUAGCAACAAUGGAGGAACUCAGUCAUCAGGUUCAUUCUGAGGUUCAUGUCCACAUCCCUGGAAUGCAUGAAGUCUAGGAAACAGAAAACCAUGACGACAAUGAUGCCUUUUAUUCAUGAAGAGGAAGAAUGUGGUGCUUCUUUCAUCAGAUCCUAAAACUUCAUCGACCCUCAACAACUCAUCGUCUUCAUUUUCAUCAGUGAACUUUUCUCCAUGGAGACAGUUCUUUCACCACUGUUGUCAUGACAACCACCGCUUAAUCUCUCCUUGGAUUAAAUAGUUAUUUGUCUGAAAAAUGUUUAUUGAAUUAUUAAAUCAGCAGCUUAGUUUUUGUCCAUAACAAAGAAAUCUUAAAACUAUCAUAUCAGAUUGUCACGGUUUGGUCACGGUUCCUGCUUUAUUCUGAAAGGACUUCCUGUUUCCAGUUACACCACAGCUGCUCUCACACAAUCACUGGUUCUCAUCAUGCACACCUGACAGUAAUCAGUAUUCAGCCCAGCAUAUAAGCUCCAUGUCUCACACUAACCAGUUUCCAAAUUGUCGCGUGUACUCACCUCUUUCCAGCAUUACCGCCUCAGCUGAUCCUGAGCUUGUUUUUGAACCUCGUGACUCCUGAUUCCUGCCUGCUCCGUGCCUGUACCUGUAGAAAACCCGGUAACGAACCUGCCUGUCUGACCUGAGAACGCCUGAUCCCGAUCUGUGCCUUACAUGUUAUUGAACCUCGCCUGUCGUUGAACCUGAGAAUGCCUGGUCCUCUGUACUGAUGCUGCGCUUUCCUGUGCACGACCUCGCCUGAAACUGACCCUGUCUUCGCCUAAUAAAUCCCUUUAUACCACGAUCUGUUCCUGUUUGAGCCGUGCAUGUGGGUCCGUCAUCUCAUUGGUUCUGACACAGAUCAAGCUUCUUUAUGUGGAAAUACUUCACUUAGUAUAAAGGUUGUCUUUGUUUAGUUCACCAUAGCUUAUUUUAGUCAUGCAUGUUCAAAAAUGAUUUUCCCGUGAAUUUUCAGUAACUAUUGUUGUUUUGUAUCAACUUUUGUUUUGAUUCCUAUUAACAGACAUAUUUACAGUUUAAUAUCAGACUAGUUUUGCUUCUUUUAUUUGCUGCAGCAAAAAUUAUUUAGUUUGAUGUGAAGUUAAACAUUUACUCCAUCACCUGUUUAUUUCUAUCACAUUAAUACAUUUGUUACUUUAUUAACACAAACAUCAGCUUAAAUUAACGAUCUUCCAGUAUUAAAUUCUUAAAUAAAUCACAAAAUCUAAAAUCAGAUGUCGAUGUUUUUGCUUUUUCAUAAAUAAACUAAACACGUUUAAUCAUUUCAAACCUGAGUUUUCCUGCUACAUAAAGUUCACAUUAGUUUCAUUGGGUUGAACAGAUAAACAUCCACUGCUGAAGCUUUAUUUCCAGCUGAAUCCAGACUUUCUUCUUCUUCGUCGCCUCCAGCUUCACUGUCGUUCAGUGACUCUAACAACCGAGUCUCCACCGACCACAGGUGACGCCCGUCGUCCUGGGGUUCUUUAAUCACGUGACCGCUGCCAAGCGACUGUCGCUGUUAAACAACAAUGGCAGAGAAGAUGCAGGACAUGAGUCAGUUAAUGUGAACUGAGCGCGAUGAGGGUAAAUCCGGAUCUGGACUCCUUUCCCACCAUCAGCAGAGAAGCGCCAACCAACAACCAGAACGGGUGGAAGCUCUGACACCACAGCAGCUGGAGGACACAGACCACAGCAUGGACUUCCACACGUCCCUC